AGACUUACCUGGCAAGGGAGAUAACACAAUCAUAAGGGUGGGUUUUCUAGGGCAAGGUUAUGCGUUAUACUCCAAACGUGCUAUCCCUGCAUUUUCCCCAAAUAUGGGAAACUUGAAUGAAUAAUUUGUGAUAGUAGGGGACUACAUUCAUAGUCUCUUG